UACAGAGGGUGCAAGCGUUGUUCGGAAUUACUGGGCGUAAAGCGUGCGUAGUCGGUAUUGAGAGUCACGGGUGAAAUCCCAGGGCUUAACCCUGGAACUGCCUGUGAGACCUCAGUACUAGAGUGUGAGAGGGGAUAGUGGAAUACCCAGUGUAGCGGUGAAAUGCGCAGAUAUCGGGAAGAACACCCGUGGCGAAGGCGGCUCUCUGGAACGCAACUGACGCUGAGACGCGAAAGCGUGGGGAGCAAACAGG
rnacentral:rRNA from 1 species